rnacentral:lncRNA from 12 species
AAUGCUGGAAGUUUGUAGCUCAAACACACUGUCCUUCUUUCUCCUAACACAGCUGAGCACAUGUAUGGACGCUCCCUGGAUCAGAUCAACAUGCUCCUGGCCAGUCUGGGCUGGGAUAAUGACUAGAAUCUUCCAGUCUGUGUUCUCUCCAGAUGAGUUGGUCUGCUACUGUUCUGAUACCCACUCAUUCAGUGUCCUAUCCCUUGUUCUGUCCAAGCACACCUCCAAAAAAAGAGGUAACACAGCCCAUAGUCAGCAGAUUUGAAAU